rnacentral:lncRNA from 1 species
GAGGCCAAUUUUUUAGUAUCAGCUAAUAAGUAGUACAAAUACUUCACUGUAAAGUACUUCUUACUAGGGACAUAAAUUAUCUCUUUUAUCUGGUUGUUCCUAUUUUGAGAAUAUAAAACACUUCAAAUAAAUCUAGUCAUUUAUGAAGAUUCAGAGAACUGGGAAUUUAUCUAAUUGUCCUUCCUGUUAUGUCAAUCCCAAUUUCCCUGUUUUCAUCAACUUGAAGACCCCCUUGGUUGUAAGAGCAUUUUGAUUUUGACUUUUUAAAAAACUGGCUACUUCAUUUGUUAUAUAUAGAGAGGGCCCAGAAGGGAGAGCUAAAAUUAAAUGAGAUAAUUCUGCUUCUUCAUACCUUCUCAGUUUAAUAUAGAAUGGAAAAGAAAUGUAGGCAAACCAUCUGAGAACCAAUAGUAUAGUUCAGAUAUCAAAUCAUAGCAUUCAUUCAGUGCAGUUCAGAUACCUAUGACAUUCUAUGUUGAAUGAUAAUUGUUAACAGUAGAAAUUUGUUUUAAAAAUGUAGUUUUCUUAUGUUAGGUACACAGCCAGUGUUCUGUUCCUCAAAUAAAUUCUGAUUCUAGGAGUUCCCCUUGUGGCUCAGUGGGCUAAGAACCCGACACAGUGUCUGUGAGGAUGUGGGUUUGAUCACUGGCCUCUUUCAGUGGGUUAAGGAUCCAGUGUUGCUGUGAGCUGUGGUGUAGGUAGCACAUGUGGCUCAGAUCUGGUUUUUCUGUGGCUGUGGCAUAGGCCAGCAGCUGCAACUCCAAUUUGACCCCUAGCCUGGGAAUUUCCAUGUGCUGUGGGUACAGCCCUAAAAAGAUGAAGAAACAAAUUCUGAUUCUAAUUGCUAGUUAUUUACAGUAAUCAGAGAAGAUGAUGGGAAAGCCGUGCCUUCCAAUGUUAUUUUAAAAUUAAAAAAAGUUUUUUGGCUGCACACACGGCAUGUGGAGGUUCCAGGGCCAGGGAUCAGAUCCACACCACAGCAGUGACAACACCAGAUCCCUAACCCACUGAGCCACCAGGGAAUUCCAGUAUCUGCCAAUAUUUAGACAUAAGACUUAACAUGGAUCUUUCCUAAGUAUAUGCGAUUCAUUGUGGCAAGUACCUGUAGGAUCUCCUUAUGAUCCUUAUAUUUAUAAAUUUUUUCUAGGAUGGAUUUUAAGAGCAGAGUUUUAGCAAGUGUUCAGUUUCUAAGAAGUUUUAAGAAUGUUCUUUACAUUGAAUAAAGUGAUGGGAAGAUCCUCUCCUGUCUUUGAAGAUGGAAAGGAGUUGCUGCCUGUUUCAUAUAGGGCAGUUAGAAAGAAGGGGCUUACUGUGGGUGAAGGGAGAGCUGUUUCAAGAAGUAAGAUUUUGGACUUAAGUGUUAUUUUUUUAAGUAUGUUUUAUUGUCAGCCCUGUUUCAUGUUUCUUUCCUUUUUUUUUAGAGAUAGUAUAUUUUAUUUUAUGCUUCUAAAAAUUUUUACUAUAGUUGAUUUAAAGUGUUCUGUUAGUUUCUGCUGUACAGCAGAGUGACCCAGUUAUUUUUAUAUAUAUAUAUAUAUAUAUACACAUAUAUACACACCCACACACAUUCAUUUUCUCACAUUAUCCUCCAUCAUGUUCUAUCACAAGAGAUUAGAGUUCCUGUGCUAUACAGCAGGAUCUCAUUACUUGUAUUUCUCUGUUUGCCUUAAUUCUAAAGAUCGCUACCAGGGCAAUCCAAGAUCUUCGAAUCAGUUCAGAAAGCCUGAGGUUUAAGAGGAGAUGAUAAAGAUGAAAGAAGGACUGGAAGGAGAUUCAGAGCUAACCAGUUUUCCUACUUCUUAUUUCAGUUCAGUAAAGAUCUCUCUGCUUGUGCUUUAUAUUGCUGUCCUUAUGAAAUGGUACUUUUCAGUUUAGGAAAAAUGUUUUGUUUCCUUAUUCCAUCUGAUCUAGAAGAGCAAGUUUUAGAUCUUCUCCCUGCUUUCAUUUUCUUCAAGAAAACUAGGGGUGACUGAGAUAUGGUGGCAGUUUGCCUGACCCUCCCCUGGAGUGACAUAGUAGAGAACCUAGGCUCAGAUAAUGGCUUUAAAGAAAUACUUACAAAGCCUUGAGAUGUGAGGCCUACUCUCUAGGUUUGAGAGCUACACAUUUUAGCAUGACCGUGGAUUGACUGGGCUGGAGCUAUAAUGGCUAAUUAUGCCUUGCCCAGGUUUCAGAAAUAGCAGAGAGGAAAGUGGAGACAUUUUUAAGAAAUUCAUGUUUUCUAUUUACGUGUUCUACUUACAUAUAUAUGUCCACUAUAGUAUGGCCUUUUCACCAUCAUAUUCUUCUUAAGUAUGAAUAUUUAGCAAUAUUUAUAUGCUAACCCCCUUUUUUAGAAGAAUACAUUUGGUCAUUGUAGAAAACUCAGACAAUUAACACAC